rnacentral:misc_RNA from 1 species
GAUGAAGAACGCAGCGAAAUGCGAUAAGUAAUGUGAAUUGCAGAAUUCAGUGAAUCAUCGAAUCUUUGAACGCAUAUUGCGCUCUCUGGUAUUCCGGAGAGCAUGCUUGUUUGAGUAUCAGUAAACACCUCAACUCCCCUUUCUUUUUUUGAAAUGGGAGCUGGACUUGAGUGAUCCCAACGCUUUUCUCACCGAAAAGUGGCGGGUUACUUGAAAUGCAGGUGCAGCUGGACUUUUCUCUGAGCUAAAAGCAUAUCUAUUUAGUCUGCCUAAAAAACAGAUUAUUACCUUUGCUGCAGCUAACAUAAAGGAGAUUAGUUCUUGUGCUGACUGAUGCAGGAUUCACAGAGACAGCUUCGGCUGGCCUUUGUAAACUCGAUCUCAAAUCAAGUAAGACUACCCGCUGAACUUAAGCAUAUCAAUAAGCGGAGGA